UACUCCUACGGGAGGCAGCAGUAGGGAAUCUUCCGCAAUGGACGAAAGUCUGACGGAGCAACGCCGCGUGAGUGAUGAAGGCUUUCGGGUCGUAAAACUCUGUUGUUAGGGAAGAACAAGUGCUAGUUGAAUAAGCUGGCACCUUGACGGUACCUAACCAGAAAGCCACGGCUAACUACGUGCCAGCAGCCGCGGUAAUACGUAGGUGGCAAGCGUUAUCCGGAAUUAUUGGGCGUAAAGCGCGCGCAGGUGGUUUCUUAAGUCUGAUGUGAAAGCCCACGGCUCAACCGUGGAGGGUCAUUGGAAACUGGGAGACUUGAGUGCAGAAGAGGAAAGUGGAAUUCCAUGUGUAGCGGUGAAAUGCGUAGAGAUAUGGAGGAACACCAGUGGCGAAGGCGACUUUCUGGUCUGUAACUGACACUGAGGCGCGAAAGCGUGGGGAGCAAACAGGAUUAGAUACCCUGGUAGUCCACGCCGUAAACGAUGAGUGCUAAGUGUUAGAGGGUUUCCGCCCUUUAGUGCUGAAGUUAACGCAUUAAGCACUCCGCCUGGGGAGUACGGCCGCAAGGCUG
rnacentral:rRNA from 1 species